rnacentral:rRNA from 1 species
CACCCCUAACUAAAUGCACAAGUUGAACAGUGAAUUUUUCCCUUUAUUAAAGGUUUUCAUAAACGUUUAAUAACAGGUUUUUGUCUUUUCAUUUUACAAAAAAAAAAAAAAAAAAAA